AGCAGCCGCGGUAAUUCCAGCUCCAAUAGCGUAUAUUAAAGUUGUUGCAGUUAAAAAGCUCGUAGUUGAACUUCAGGCCUGGCUGGACGGUCCGCCUUCCGGGCGAGUACUGUCUGUGGUCGGGUCCUACCUUCUGGCGAAGCGUCAUGGCCUUAACCGGCCGUGGCGGGGAACCAGGACUUUUACUGUGAAAAAUUAGAGUGUUCAAAGCAGGCAAUUCGCUUGGAUACAUUAGCAUGGAAUAAUGGAAUAGGACAAUGGUUCUAUUUGUUGGUUUCUAAGACUGUUGUAAUGAUUAAUAGGGAUAGUUGGGGGCAUUAGUAUUCAAUUGUCAGAGGUGAAAUUCUUGGAUUUAUUGAAGACUAACUACUGCGAAAGCAUUUGCCAAGGAUGUUUUCAUUAAUCAAGAACGAAAGUUAGGGGAUCGAAGACGAUCAGAUACCGUCGUAG
rnacentral:rRNA from 1 species